ACCUGUUGAAUUAGGUGUGUCCUUGGU
rnacentral:piRNA from 1 species